rnacentral:rRNA from 1 species
GGACGCCAGUACAGGUGGUGCAUGGCUGUCGUCAGCUCGUGUCGUGAGAUGUUGGGUUAAGUCCCGCAACGAGCGCAACCCUUAUUCUUAGUUGUUUCCCUUUGGGAUUACCCUCUAAGAAGACUGCCUCGGAUAACGGGGAGGAAGGCGGGGAUGACGUCAAGUCCGCAUGCUCCUUACGUCUAGGGCUACACACGUCCUACAACGGGGUCGACAAUGGGAUGCAAUAUCGCAAGAUGGAGCCAAUCCCCAAACGGCCUCUCAGUUCGGAUUGUAGUCUGCAACUCGACUACAUGAAGUCGGAAUCGCUAGUAAUGGCGGAUCAGCAUGCCGCCGUGAAUACGUUCCCGGGUCUU